rnacentral:tRNA from 1 species
AGGGGUGUAGCUCAGUGGGAGAGUGCACACUUUGUAUAUAUGAGGUCCAGGGUUUGAUCUCUGGCACCUCCA